UGUAAACGUUAAUAAACUAUAAUUUUACAGGUAGAAUUAUUCAUUUUCGAAUUGUACUGUACCCACAAAUUUAAACAAUUUAAAUCCCUGGUUGUAUAUUUAAAUUAUGCAUGAACGUUCCCAAACACGGUGACAGUGCGAGCUCAUGAGAUAUGUGAUUGUUGUCAUAUUUCUUUAAAAAUCAAAAAAUUUAUGAUAAAUACACUUUUCGUAUGGAAUCAAAAAGCAAGCACUUUGAGUGUCUUGAUCAUCAUAUUUAUUUACAUAUAAAAGCAACAGAACUGAGAUUAUAUUAUGUAUAUUAGCAACACAGUACGUGAGUGUGAAUAACGCGAUAUCUGCCUUUGAUCUCGUUGCUCUGUCUGUUCCACUUGGAGAGGUAGGCUACAGUAAGAAUUCUGUCCGUCUUGACUGCGUUUAUUUCAAUCAACCGGCACAAAUGCAUCUCAAACAAGCCUAAUGUUUAAAAAAUGCACAUGACCUCGCGCUCCUUCUUUCUAAUCCAUUAUGCAAAUUGCGUUCCAUUUCCAUGACGUCACACAGCAGCCGCGAAAUCGCUGAAUCUUUCUGAGGAUUCAUAUGCUGAUAGGAGUAUCAUAUGUGUACAGACGCUAAUUUUCUGAGUGAAUUUGCAAUACAGAGAGUUUGUUUAGAUUCAGUCAAACAACCACAGUGCACAAAUUUGAUACAUUUUCACUGGACAAUAUCUUCAAGAUUAUCGUCCGUGUCUGAGGAGAGUGUAGAGAGCCAGUUGAGUGUCAUGGAGGCCCCUCCUGUGGAGCAGAGCUCAACAGUUUCAGAAAAGCAUGCCAGCAAGCGGAAGAAGAACAUAAUUUCUUGUUUCUUCAAGAAAGUACGUAAGGCUGUGAAGCUUCCCAUCUGCUCCAAGAACACAGUGGACUGUCUACCACAGCAGGACCCACAGUUUGACAACUCUACACCUAGCCUGGAAGGGUGGAACGACGCCGCUUUAUCCAGUUCGGAUGGCUGCCCAGAGCAGUCCAGCUUCACACUUCCAGGUGAAGUGCUUGUUGAACCAGUAAGGGCUUCAGCUUGC
rnacentral:lncRNA from 1 species